rnacentral:rRNA from 1 species
UCGGCCUAUCAGCUUUUGUGAGGUAUGGCCCACCAGGCUAAACAGUACGGGCUCUGAAGGAGGGCCCGGAAUGGUACUAGACCGGACCCAGCCUAUGGGGCGCAGCAGGCGAGAAACCUUUGCAAUGUGCGAAAGCACGACAAGGUUAAUCCGAGUGUCUCCUGCUAAAGGAGUCUUUUGUCAGUUGUAGAAUCACUGGUGAAUAAGGGGUGGGCAAGUUCUGGUGUCAGCCGCCGCGGUAAAACCAGCACCUCGAGUGGUCAGGAGGUUUAUUGGGCCUAAAGCAUCCGUAGCCGGUUGCAUAAGUUUUCGGUUAAAUCUAUGCGCUUAACGUAUAGGCCGCCGAAAAUACUGUGCAGCUAGGGAGUGGGAGAGGUACACGGUACUCGAUAGGAAGGGGUAAAAUCCUUUGAUCUAUUGAAGACCACCUGUGGCGAAGGCGGUGUACCAGAACACGUUCGACGGUGAGGGAUGAAAGCUGGGGGAGCAAACCGGAUUAGAUACCCGGGUAGUCCCAGCUGUAAACGAUGCAGACUCGGUGAUGCAUUGGCUUGUGGCCAAUGCAGUGCCGCAGGGAAGCCGUUAAGUCUGCCGCCUGGGAAGUACGUACGCAAGUAUGAAACUUAAAGGAAUUGGCGGGGGAGCACCACAAGGGAGAAGCCUGCGGUUCAAUUGGAGUCAACGCUGA